AGUGAACGCUGGCGGCGUGCCUAAUACAUGCAAGUCGAACGAAGUGGCGCACGGGUGAGUAAUAUAUAGUUAAUCUCCCCUACACAGAGGAACAACAGUUGGAAACGGCUGCUAAUACCUCAUAGUGUAGGAUGAGACUAUAUCGUUUCAGCUAGUUGGUAAGGUAAUGGCUUACCAAGGCUAUGACGCGUAACAGGUCUGAGAGGAUGAUCAGUAACAUUGUAACGGAGACACGGUCCAAACGCCUACGGGAGGCAGCAGUAAGGAAACUUGCGAAAUGGGGGAGACCCUGACGCUGCAACGCAGCGUGGAGGAUUACACUUUUCGGAGCGUAAACUCGUUUUAUCAGGAAAGCGGUACCUGAUGAAUAAGCAACGGCUAACUCCGUGCCAGCCGCCGCGGUAAUAC
rnacentral:rRNA from 1 species